GAGGGGGGUUUAAUCUGGACUGAAUUGGAGGAAAGGAACUGGCACCAGAGUGGAGGCUGGAAGGAUGGUGGAACUGACACUGGGACAGAACACAGAAAACAGAAUCUAAUGCUAUUGCUCUGGCUAUAUCAAAUAAAAGUGUCAAGAGUGAGCAUCCUUGCCUUGUGCUGAAUCACAAAGGAAUACCUUUCAGUUUUUCUCCAUUGAUUAUGAUAGCAGUGGGCUUUUCACAGUGGGCUUUAUUGUGUUGAGGCUGGAGUGCAAUGGCAUGAUCUUGGCUCACUGCAACCUCUGCCUUCUGGUUUCAAGCAAUUCUCCUGCCUCAGCCUCCUGAGUAGCUGGGAUUACAGGCACCCGCCACCACGCCUGGCUAAUUUUUGUAUUUUUAGUAGAGACAGGGUUUCACCGUGUUGUUCAGGCUGGUCUCGAGCUCCUGACCUCGUGAUCCGACCACCUCAGCCUCCUAAAGUGCUGGGAUUACAGGCGUGAGCCACCGCGCUGGCCAAGGCAAUGAUUUUUAAUGGUUUUUGGGAAGCAGAUUUUAUAGUAUAUUAAAGGAAGGUGUGUGUGUGUGUGUGUGUGUCGGUACGUAAUACAUACAAAUAUAUCCAUUCAUCUUUUAAUAAACUAGGUUCAGCAUC
rnacentral:sRNA from 1 species